CCCUCAUCACAGCUCAUGGCUGGGGGUAAAGAGAAACGAGGAGGCGGCAGCCUCCAUGAGCGGCUUCCUCCUCCUCCUCCUCAGCCACCGCAGCCCCUGCAGCCCCAGGACAGGCCCAGCCUGCAGCAGCCGCGGCCCAGCCUGCCUCACCCAGAGGACAAGCAGGAGGAGGAUGGAAAGGAAGAGGAGUCCCAGCACACAGAGGGUCAGCUUGAGGGAGUGUUGGAUGAAGACACCGUGGCUGAGGGACUCCACGAGCUGGGGCGCUCAGCCACUGGUAUUGAAUACGUCUAUCUUAACCUGUCGCUUUCAGGUCGUGAGUUAAGUGACAUUAGCAUUCUCUCCAGAUACAUUCACCUGCAGAAGCUGGAACUUUCAUCUAAUAAAAUUAAUGAUCUUUCUUGUGUCAGUUACAUGCCUUACUUACUAGAACUGAAUGCUUCCAACAAUGAAUUGACUACAUAUUUUGGUUUUAAACCACCUAAAAAUCUCAAGGUAGUCGAUUUCUCAUACAAUCAAAUACCUAAAAUGGAAAACUUGUCAGCAUACGAGUCACUCACUAAACUCUUCCUGGAUUUUAAUAACAUAGAGGAGUUACAAGGACUGGGGAAGUGUCACAGUCUGACUCACCUUAGUUUGUCACACAACAGACUUGUUGCAAUCAGUGGCCUUGAGAACCUACCUAUCAAAAUACUCAACCUGAGCUUUAACCAUAUUGAGAAGAUUACUGGGCUGGGCAGCUUGAAAGCUCUACAGACAUUGGACCUCUCUAGCAAUAAAAUAACUAGUCUAGAAGGCUUGAAGAAACAUGAUCUACUACAGGUGAUCAACUUAGAGGACAACCAGAUUGCUGAGCUGAGUGAACUUAAGCACCUUGAAGAUCUGCCUCUCCUCAGAGUUUUAAAUCUGUUAAAGAAUCCUGUACAGGAGCAAGCAGAUUAUUGGCUCUCAGUGAUUUUCAUGUUGCUCAAGCUAACAGAACUGGAUCUCAAGAAGAUUUCAGUGAAAGAAAAGGUUGCUGCUGUGAAUAAAUAUGAUCCUCCUCCAGAAGUAGUUGCUGCUAAAGACCACAUGACUCAUGUUAUGCGUGGCAUGAUGCAGCCCCAGAAGAUCUUUGACAGCACUUUACCUUCUCUUGAUACUCCCUACCCCAUGCUGGUGUUCGCUGGUCCUGUAGCCUGUGGUAAGAGAGAGCUUACUCACAAGAUCUGCAGGCAGUUCAACAAUUUCUUCAGAUUUGGUCCCUGUCACACUACCAGGGAAGCUUACUUUGGAGAAGAAAACAGACUUGAUUACUACUUCGUUACUCAAGAAGAAUUUGACAAAAUGGUGAACAUGGGGCAGUUUAUAGCAACCUAUAAAUACAAUGGCUAUUCCUACGGACUUGCAAGAGACACGAUCGAAUCAAUUGCCAGAGAGGGUCUUGCAACUUGUGUUGAAUUAGAAUUAGAGGGUCUGCGUAGCUUGAAAAACACCUACUUUCAACCCAGAUGUAUCCUGUUAGUACCACUUAGCAAAGGGAAAUAUGAGGAGCAUCUGCGGAGGAAAGGACUAUUCAGCAGGUCAGAGAUUGAAGAGGCAGUCUCCAGAGUGGACAUGUACAUCAACAUGACUGAGGAUUUUCCAGGGUACUUUGAUGCCACUGUCUACACAGAUGAACUGGAUGAGGCAUUCAGAGAACUGAGUUUCAUCGUAAGGGAAUACCUGGAUUUGAAGCCACCUGCAGCUGCUGAUAGCAUUCAGGACUCAAACAGCAGAGUAGGAGCAGCUUCCAGAAUACAGCUCUUACGGCAGCAAAGAUUCUCACCUGGUGGUGUAACUACUGGAACUAUUCAGUCUUCAUUUGUCAGUGAGUUCUUGGACUCUUCUGCCAAAAGCUAUCGAGGAGGCAUCUCAGAGAAACAUGCUGCACAACUGAGGUCUAUGGAAGAAGCUUCUUUCCAAAGACGUUUCUGUGCACUACGUCAGGCUCUGUCAGGGAAAGCACCUAAUGCAUCUGGCCAGCCCUUCCAAAGGGACCUGGCAGCCACUCCUGCACCGGGCAGCUCCCAUCAGCAAUUCCUGGAACCAACAAUGUAUGCUUCUGUGCUCUCAGAUGGAAGGAAUAUGACCCAAGACCAGAGCUUCCCCCUGAGUAACCCAGGGGGUCGCUGCAAAGAACCUGGUCCUGCCAGGGGACGAUUCCUAAUCUCAUCUGGUUCAUCUGCUGCUGGAGGUCUGCCUGUUCGGAGCCCUGUUCCUCAUGCUCACCUCCCUGAAGAAGCCAAAGCUGAGCAUCAAAAUCCAAGAAGAGCUGAAGAUGGAGUGCGCAGAUUGAAAGACAUGGAAUUCUCUGCUGAGAACCCCCAGAGGAAGCACAGCAAGUCCAAGGCUGGUUCUUCUCAAGUGCCUCAGCUCAGCAACUGGGCAGGCUCCAAACCUGUCCUACCUCCAAUCCCAUCGGGGAGGAAGAAGACCACCCAUUGAUGGCCUCUACUAGCCAAGCCUUUGUUGGGAUUACACUGACUCUUUCUGCCUAACAGGAACAGUGAUUUUUAUGUAUCUAUUUCUCUUCCACAAAGUCUAUGAAAUAUUAUUCCUAAAUCCAUUUCUAAUUAAUUCUCCCCAAAAAAAGGUUAUGUAUUUAUAACUUGAUUAAAAAAGUAAUUUCUCUAUUCCCCAAAGCUAGAAAUUAUUUCCCCAGGCACUCCCAGCUGGGAAAUGGUGUAGAUUUUAUUCCUAACAGCCACAUGACCACAUCUUGCAUUAACUUCUCUCUUUUCUUCCUCUCCUAUGUUAUAGGUUUAAUUGAGGUGUGGGAGCAUUGGGGUCUCUGUUAAUGUUGUCUAUAUUGUAGGAGUAGUGAAGGACUUUGUGAAAUGGUCAGAGUUGAGCUGAGAGUUAAAACGACUUCCAGACCUCUUUGUUGUUUAAUGAAAUGUGGUUUUUUGAAGGGAUGAGUCCCAGCUCUUGGAUUUGCAAGUGUAUUUAAACAGCCCAGUGAGGAGCCAUCAGGGAACCUGAGUAGAAUCGCUGAGGGCUAGCUGAAGCUAGCAGGCAGUGAAGCCCCUUUGCCCCAGCAGCUUCCCAUGAGGAGGGGGCAUUUGCUAUUCCUAUUGCAGCGUGGAUCUUUGCAUGCACACAAGACAGCACAACUCGUUGCCACAGUGUGGAGUCAGGCCCAUGGAAGAGCUCUGCCUGUUCACAGUGUGGCCAAGGGGUUUUGGUGAUUAAAUAGGAUAAACUGAACAAAGGAGCUCAGCUCAUGCUCUUUCCAGCGGAAGAACAACAGCACCUUUUUCAUAUCACUGAUUGUGACAGAACAAAAAGCCAGGCUGCUCCGUGGCCUGGUUUCAGAAGGAAUUCAGAAGCUGCACUUUCAACCUUAGUGGGUGUUUUGCCAAUGCAGUUCCACAGGGUUCUCCAAGCUGAGACCACUUCCACAUUCAGCCCCAGCUCUCCACUCUUCCCUUGGAAAGGUUACUUCCUUCAGUGUAAAACAGAUCAAACCAGGACAAGUUAUCCCUGG